GACGAACGCUGGCGGCGUGCUUAACACAUGCAAGUCGAACGGUGAAGCGCCUUCCUUUUUGGUGGGUGUGGAUGAGUGGCGAACGGGUGAGUAACACGUGAGUAACCUGCCCCCUUCUUCUGGAUAACCGCAUGAAAGUGUGGCUAAUACGGGAUAUUCUGGGUCUGUCGCAUGAUGGGUCUGGGAAAGAUAUUGUUUCGGUGGGGGAUGGGCUCGCGGCCUAUCAGCUUGUUGGUGGGGUGAUGGCCUACCAAGGCGGUGACGGGUAGCCGGCCUGAGAGGGUGGACGGUCACACUGGGACUGAGACACGGCACAGACUCCUACGGGAGGCAGCAGUGAGGAAUAUUGCACAAUGGGCGCAAGCCUGAUGCAGCGACGCCGCGUGAGGGAUGGAGGCCUUCGGGUUGUGAACCUCUUUCGCCAGUGAAGCAGGCCUGCCUCGUUUGUGGGUGGGUUGACGGUAGCUGGAUAAGAAGCGCCGGCUAACUACGUG
rnacentral:rRNA from 1 species